GACGAACGCUGGCGGCGCGCUUAACACAUGCAAGUCGAACGGAAAGGCCCUGCUUUUGUGGGGUGCUCGAGUGGUGAACGGGUGAGUAACACGUGAGUAACCUGCCCUUGACUUUGGGAUAACUUCAGGAAACUGGGGCUAAUACCGGAUAGGAGCUCCUGCUGCAUGGUGGGGGUUGGAAAGUUUCGGCGGUUGGGGAUGGACUCGCGGCUUAUCAGCUUGUUGGUGGGGUAGUGGCUUACCAAGGCUUUGACGGGUAGCCGGCCUGAGAGGGUGACCGGCCACAUUGGGACUGAGAUACGGCCCAGACUCCUACGGGAGGCAGCAGUGGGGAAUAUUGCACAAUGGGCGGAAGCCUGAUGCAGCAACGCCGCGUGCGGGAUGACGGCCUUCGGGUUGUAAACCGCUUUCGCCUGUGACGAAGCGUGAGUGACGGUAAUGGGUAAAGAAGCACCGGCUAACUACGUG
rnacentral:rRNA from 1 species